AAUGAACGCUGGCGGCGUGCUUUACACAUGCAAGUCGAACGGAAACGCCCUGGUUUGCUCCUGUGGUCGAGUGGCGAACGGGUGAGUAACGCAUUGGAACCCUGCCCUUGACGUGGGAUUACUGUCCGAAAGGAGAGCUUAUACCCCAUACGAACUUCCUGCGAAAUGAGGGGACCUGCAGACCUUGCGCUAUUGGAGAUGGCAAUGUCUGAUUAUCUACUUGGUGGUGGAAAGGCCUAUUACCGCGGACUAUCACUAGCGGCCCUGAUAAGAUGAUCCCCCGCCCUGUUACUGAUAAGCUACCCACACUACUCCUGCAGGAAGCAGCGGGGAAUAAUGUAGCAUGGUGGCAAGACUGAUGCUGCCAUGCCGCGUGUCGGAAGAAGGCCUUCUUCUUGUAGAAGACUUUUGUCCCCUGAGACAAAGCUGGGGAUACUACCCAGGACUGAUGACCGCCCCCUAACAAUAUGCACCCGCUAACUACGAGCCAUCAGCCGCGAUAAUACGUAGGAUGCGAUGGUUAAUCAGAAUUCGUGGGCGUAUGAUCAGCUCAGACGUGUUGUCAUGCAAGCAUGUGAAAUCCCCGGGCUCAACCUGGGAACUGCGUUUUGAACUGGCAAGCUAGAGUGUGUCAGAGGGGGGUAGAAUUCCACGUGUAGCAGUGAAAUGCGUAGAGAUGUGGAGGAAUACCGAUGGCGAAGGCAGCCCCCUGGGAUAACACUGACGUUCAUGCUCGAAAGCGUGGGUAGCAAACAGGAUUAGAUACCCUGGUAGUCCACGCCCUAAACGAUGUCAAUUAGCUGUUGGGGUGCUUGACACCUUAGUAGCGUAGCUAACGCGUGAAAUUGACCGCCUGGGGAGUACGGUCGCAAGAUUAAAACUCAAAGGAAUUGACGGGGACCCGCACAAGCGGUGGAUGAUGUGGAUUAAUUCGAUGCAACGCGAAGAACCUUACCUGGUCUUGACAUGUACGGAAGGUCUUAGAGAUAGGACUGUGCCUUCGGGAACCGUAACACAGGUGCUGCAUGGCUGUCGUCAGCUCGUGUCGUGAGAUGUUGGGUUAAGUCCCGCAACGAGCGCAACCCUUGUCAUCAGUUGCCAUCAUUAAGUUGGGCACUCUGAUGAGACUGCCGGUGACAAACCGGAGGAAGGUGGGGAUGACGUCAAGUCCUCAUGGCCCUUAUGAUCAGGGCUUCACACGUCAUACAAUGGUGGUUCCGAAAGUGAGCCAACCUCUGAGGGUGAAGGCAUUUCCAAAAACCGGUUUCUAGUCGGAAUGGCGUUUGCCAAUUGGCGUCCAGGAAUUGGAAAUGGUUAUAAUUGCCAAUCAACCACGCUGCGGUGAAUACGUUCCCGGGUCU
rnacentral:rRNA from 1 species